UAUGGCCUAAGUUGGUGAUUUCCAUUGCCUAAGAGACUUAAGUGGUCGAGCCUACAUUAUAAUUUGUAAUAAUGGGGGCUUGUAAUAACUACUAAUGUUAGAUAAAAGUAAAGAUGUUAAGAUAACUUUAUCACAAGCAAAUUCAAGUAUGUUUGAUGAAAGAUAAUGUGUGGAAUAUCCCAAGCAUCAUGUACGCUCUUUUGAAU
rnacentral:lncRNA from 1 species